rnacentral:misc_RNA from 1 species
GAUGAAGAACGCAGCGAAAUGCGAUAAGUAAUGUGAAUUGCAGAAUUCAGUGAAUCAUCGAAUCUUUGAACGCACAUUGCGCCCGCCAGUAUUCUGGCGGGCAUGCCUGUCUGAGCGUCAUUUCAACCCUCAUGCCCCUAGGGCGUGGUGUUGGGGAUCGGCCAAAGCCCGCGAGGGACGGCCGGCCCCUAAAUCUAGUGGCGGACCCGUCUUGGCCUCCUCUGCGAAGUAGUGAUAUUCCGCAUCGGAGAGCGAUGAGCCCCUGCCGUUAAACCCCCAACUUUCCAAGGUUGACCUCAGAUCAGGUAGGAAUACCCGCUGAACUUAAGCAUAUCAAUAAGCGGAGGA